AUUGAACGCUGGCGGCAUGCCUUACACAUGCAAGUCGAACGGCAGCACGGGUGCUUGCACCUGGUGGCGAGUGGCGAACGGGUGAGUAAUACAUCGGAACAUGUCCUGUAGUGGGGGAUAGCCCGGCGAAAGCCGGAUUAAUACCGCAUACGAUCCGCGGAUGAAAGCGGGGGACCUUCGGGCCUCGCGCUAUAGGGUUGGCCGAUGGCUGAUUAGCUAGUUGGUGGGGUAAAGGCCUACCAAGGCGACGAUCAGUAGCUGGUCUGAGAGGACGACCAGCCACACUGGGACUGAGACACGGCCCAGACUCCUACGGGAGGCAGCAGUGGGGAAUUUUGGACAAUGGUCGAAAGCCUGAUCCAGCAAUGCCGCGUGUGUGAAGACGGCCUUCGGGUUGUAAAGCACUUUUGUCCGGAAAGAAAUCCUUGACUCUAAUACAGUCGGUGGAUGACGGUACCGGAAGAAUAAGCACCGGCUAACUACGUG
rnacentral:rRNA from 1 species